CGGACGGGUGAGUAACGCGUGGAAAACCUGCCGUAUACUGGGGGAUAACACUUAGAAAUAGGUGCUAAUACCGCAUAAGCGCACAGCUUCGCAUGAAGCGGUGUGAAAAACUCUGGUGGUAUACGAUGGUUCCGCGUCUGAUUAGCUAGUUGGUGGGGUAAUGGCCUACCAAGGCAACGAUCGGUAGCCGGCCUGAGAGGGUGAAUGGCCACAUUGGGACUGAGACACGGCCCAAACUCCUACGGGAGGCAGCAG
rnacentral:rRNA from 1 species